CUUUCAGGAUUCCUGGGCUGGGGACAGGGAGAGGAAGAAGAGAAAGAUCCGCCAUGCUGGAAAAAGGAGAACUAAGAUGCCACACCCGAGAAGCUCAGGACAGAGAACAUAGCCGCCAUAUUGGAGGGACUCCAUCCAAUAAAGGCAAAUAAAGAGAGCCUGAAAGUAUAGCUUGGCACCUACGCAGCAAGCCACUCCUGUCUACAGUGCUCAUGAACCUUCCAGAAUCAUGGAGAAGACCUGCCGUGCAUGGCCCUUAUUGCAAGUUUGCUUCUGCCACAUCUGGGUCUCCCGAGGUCGGAGAGGAUCGUCUUUAAUAUUCCUUGGUAGAUUCCAGGAUCCUACAAGCCACAACCUCUUCGCCGUAUUUCCCAGGAGCAGCCCCCAUCCAUGGUUUGGAGGACUCGACCCUAUGGAGCGCCCUGGCCUGGAGGUGUGCAGGUUAGAAGGAACCCCAGCUGUGGCACCUCACUAUCCUUCUCUUUCCCGACCCGUUCAAAAAUAAAAAAAUAAACCCCAAU
rnacentral:lncRNA from 1 species